rnacentral:lncRNA from 1 species
GGCGCCCGCCAGCGCUGGCUGAGGGAGAAACAGAUUGAGAGGAUGGUUCCCGCCCAGGGUAGAGGCAGCCGCAAGCUGAGGACUGGGUCCGAAUUCCCUGGAGGGAGGCCAAGGCUCAGAGAAGAGACCUUGGCUAGUGAGUGGCAGAGGCUCCAGAAGUUGCUGCUAAAUUCCAUAUCUGCUGAUUCCUGCCUGGUGCUGUGUGAUUUUUAUACAAGUUUGAGCCUGGCAUUCGAAGCACUCUGGAGUCAGUCUCCAGCUUACUACCUACCGGAUCCUCAGAUCUCCAGGAUGAGGUGGUAAUAAUUCAUGGGGAUGAAGAACCCAGACUUUGUGGCAGACAGCCCUGGGUUCAAUCCCAGGCACUGUCACUUCACUAGCUGUGUGACCCCAGGCAAGUUCUGUAAACUCUCUGAGCUCGGGUUUCCUUAUCCCUAGUGACACUCACUUCAUAAGAUUGUGGGGGAAUCUCAUGAGAUACCACAUGUAAAGCUCUCAGCACCCAGCCUAGUUCCUUAGGCACUUAAGAAACAGCAGCUGUGGUUACAUCUCUGGCCUUAUCUCUAGUACACAGACCCCUUUACUCCAGUCUAUGCAUUUCACUGGACUUUCAUGGCCCAGCCUAUUUAUUUACUUAUUUAUUUAUUUUUGGCGCACCCACGGCAUAUUGAAGUUUCCUGGCAAGAGAUCAAACCCGCGCCACAGUGCCAAUGCAAGAUCCUUAAUUCACUGAGCCACGAGGGAGCUCCCAGUUAAUUUUUUUGAUAUUACUUUUUUAUUUUACUUUUUAUUUUACUUUUUUGAUAUUACUUUUUUAUUUUACUUUUUUUGAUAUUACUAUUUUAUUUUAUUCCUUAGCCAUUAAAAUCAUUCACGCAUGUAUUUUUCUACAUAACUUAUUGCGAGCUGAUCAAUGAAUGUUAAAUAAAAUGUUAAUUUUCAUCAUUUGCUUCAAUGCAUGUCUUCUUGACCAAGUCUUCAUUUUUUAUUCCAUAAUAUUUUAUGCCUCACCUUUCAGGCAAUAAAGAAUUUUUAUUUUUUUUAAAUAAUUUUUUUUUUUUUGGUAUUUUUAGGGCUGCACUUGUAGCAUAUGGAAGUUCCUAGGCUAGGGGUGGAAUCGGAGCUGUAGCUACCAGCCUAGCCAUAGCCAAAGCAAAGCCAGAUCCCAACCACAUUUGCAACAUACAUUGUUUGAGACCUACACCACAGCUUAUGGCAAUGCCGGAUCCUCAACCCACCGAAUGAGGCCGGGGAUCGAACCCGCGUCCUCUUGGAUACUAGUCAGGUUUGUUACCACUGAGCCACAAUGGGAACUCCAAUGAGGAAAUUUUAAACACCACAGCUAAGAACCUGAACAUUCAUCUGCAAGUACCCAUACGCUUCUUACAUGCAGUUGUGCUCUUAGUGGUUUUCUUACAGCCAUCUUUGAUGAUAAGUUUUGGGAAAACAUUUGUCAUGACAAUCUUCAUUCGCCUUCAACUUUAUAGGCUCUUUUGCACCUUGAAGAGCCUGGUGACAGGCCCCUAGGCACUGCUGCCCCAUCCAUACGGCUGACGGGUGCCUUCUUUCCUCAGCAGCCACACUGGAAAAAGCUUCAUGACCUAGUUUAAAUGUCACCUUCUCCAGGAAGCCUUCCCCGCCUGCCUCCCCUCUCAUGGUCAGAGUGCCUCUUUCCCUCUUGGGACCUUUCCUGUGUUCUACCUCAACAAACGAAGCUUUGUUUUCAUGCCAUGUUUAUCUGUUAGGUAAGUUCCAUCAAGGGACCAGGUGGUAUUUCUCCAUGCCCCUCAGCAUCCAGAGCCUGGCUUGGCAUGCAGAAGAUGGCUAACAAAUAUCGAUUAAAUGAUUCACUCAUCUUCCCAGCAAAAACUGGCAGAAAUGAAUGAGAUCUGAAGUCAGAGACUCAGCAGGCCCAGCUUCAAGCCCCACUCUCCACCCUUCCAGCUGAGCGCCCUUGGACAGGCUACUGCUCCACCUCUCAAUGUCCCGUUUCCUCAAUCAUCAAAUAUUGAUAAUGCUUCUGCUUGGCUAAUGUCACAGGACUUCAGGGAUAUUAUUAAAAUGAUGUUGGUGGAGUUCCUGUCGUGGCUCGGAGGUAACAAACUCAACUAGUAUCCAUGGGGACUCAGGUUCCAUCCCUGGCCUUGCUCAGUGGGUUAAGGGUCCAGCAUUGCCAUGAGCUGUGGUGUAGGCUGCAGCUGUGGCUCGAAUUCAGCCCCUAGGCUGGGAACCUCCAUAUGCCCUGGUCCAGCCCUAAAAAAAAAAAAAAAAAAAAGAUGGAGAUGAUGACCAUUAAUAUUUCUGUAACCUACUAUGUGCCAAGCUCCUCUGAUCCUCAUGACACCCUCUGAAACGGGCACUAUUAUUAUCCCCAUUUUACAGAUGAGGGAACCUGGAAGGAAUUGUGGCAGAGCAGGUUUGGGAAAGGAGUAGGGCCCCAGGGCCAGGAAGGGAAAUGGGGGUGGCAGGGUGGGGCUGAGAGGAACGAAGGGAGCCAGCAAGGGGGCUGAGAGCCAGCUCUCUGUGGUUGAGUUUCGGGCAGCUGGGGCUGGCUUUAGAGUUUCACUGCCUGGGAACUGACUAAUUCUUGUAAGAGGUGUGGGACACAGAUCUGCAGUCUGUCACCCUGAAUUUGAAUUCCUGCCCCAUUCCUUCCUUAGCGUCGUGCUCUUAGGUUGCUGGACCUCUCUGAGCCUCAACUUACUCAUCUUUGAAAUGGGAAUGGCAAAAGUGACCUUUCCACUUACAAUGAGGAGUCAUUAAGGUGUUGGAUAGGGAGUCCUCUAAGGAGUGCAUAAUAGGUAUUUAAUAUAUUUUCACUGAUGGCGUUCCCUUCGUGGCUCAGUGGCUAACGAACCCAACUAGGAUCCAUGAGGAUGCGGGUUUGAUCCCUGGCCUCCCUCAGUGGGUUAAGGAUCCGGACUCAUGGCAACGCCGGUUCCUUAACCCACCGAGCAAGGCCAGGGAUAGAACACGAAACCUCAUGGUUCCUAGUUGGAUUCAUUAACCACUGAACCACGAUGGGAACUCCUGCAAUUUUCUUUCUUUUUUGUCUUUUUUGUCUUUUUUUUUUUAGGGCCACACCUGUGACAUAUGUAAGUUCCCAGGCUAGGGGUUGAAUCAGAGCUGUAGCGGCCUGUCUACAUCACAGCCACAGCAACGCCAGAUGCGAGCCACACCUGUGACCUACACUGCAGCUUGGGGCAAUGACACUGAGCAGGGUAACCCACUGAGCAGGGCCAGGGAUUGAACCUGCAAUCUCAUGGAAACUAGAGGGGUUCCUUUCCACUGAGCCAUUCAUGCCCUAUACUCUUCUGUUUCCCAGGCUUGGCUUACAUGGCUCCAUAUCCACAAGGCCCCCUUCCUUCCUUCCAUCCCCAUGUGAUAAGUCUUUUUUUUUUUAUUUUUUUUUUAUUUUUUUUUGUCUUUUUGGGGCCACACCCACGGCAUAUGGAGGUUCCCAGGCUAAGGGUCCAAUCAGAGCUCUAGCCGCUGGCCUAUGCCACAGGUACAUCAACUCCGGAUCCAAGGCGUGCCUGCGACCUACACCACAUCUCACAGCAAUGCCAGAUCCUUAACCCACUGAUCAAGGCCAGGGGUCAAAACUGCGUUCUCAUGGAUACUAGUCAGAUUUGUUCUGCCGAGCCACAACAGGAACUCCUCCAUGUGACAAAUCUUACCCAUCCUUCAAGGCCCAACUCAAAUGGCAGAAUGGCAGGAGUAGCGUCGAAAGUCAGACCUCCAAUAAAACUUCAAACCCUUUGGGAGCAGGACCCAUGCUUUGUUUUCACCUUCAUGCCCUCCUCUCCGAGAAGGCCAGGGACACAGUAGGCCCGCAGUAAGUGAUGAUGGAGAUAAGAGCUUACAUUUCCUGAGCGCUUCCUCAGUGUAAAGCACCAGCCUGGCAUUUACAUGCAUUCGUUAUAUUGAAACCUCCCAACUGGCCUACAACGUAGGUACAUUGAGGAAACUGAGUCUCAGAUAUGUAAGGGACUUCACCAAGGGCUGGCUAAAGAUGAAACCAGAAUCUGCACUCAGAUCUCUGAGCUAUUUUGGACAUAGAACUCAGCCCCAGAACCAAUCCCAUUGAAGGAGGGUAUGGUAUGUUCUGCCAGUGAAGCAGAGGUUCCAGUGCUGCAGACAUUGUUGGGGCUGGGAAGAGUGUGCCCACAGCUGGAUAUGUUAGGGGUGCUUUGUCCCAUUUUCCAGAUGAGGAAGCUGAGGCAUGAGGGACGUUAAUUGAAGCUGCACAGCUGGUAAGGGAGGGAGCCCCCGUUCUAGACAGACCCCAAUGCCCUGGAAAAGCCCCCAAACCAAAGCAAACUUGCAUCCCAGCUGGUGUACCUUGUGCCUGGUGUAUCUGCUAAAAAUGCCUCUGAUUCCCUCGAUUCAAAGUCCUACUUAUUAAAUACAAAAUGCUUGAUAGUAGCUUCCUGAAAGCACAGACCUCUUGUUUUGGGGCUCCCCACUGUGGUGUCCGUUCACAAAAAUUCAAAAUAAGACGGAGCUGUGGGAGGAAGAGAGGAAAAUGUCUGCUCCAUCGUCUUUGUGCUUCUCUGUACAGUCUUUUCCAACCUUUUUUUUUUUUUUUUUUUUUUUUUUUUUUUGUCUUUUUGUCUUUUCUUGAGCUGCUCCUGUGGCAUAUGGAGCUUCCCAGGCUAGGGGUCUAAUUGGAGCUGUAGCUACCGGCCUACGCCAUAGCCACAGCAACGUGGGAUCUGAGCCGCAUCUGUGACCUACACCACAGCUCACGGCAACACCAUAUCCUUAACCCACUGAGCAAGGCCAGGGAUCAAACCCGCAACCUUGAGGUUCCUAGUCGGAUUCGUUAACCACUGCGCCAUGACGGGAACUCCUUUUCCAACCAUUCUAAAGUAAGCAUGUAUUGGAGUUCCCAUUGUGGCUCAAUGGUAAUGAACCCGAAUAGUAUCCAUGAGGAUAUAGGUUUGAUCCCUGGCAUCCACCAUUGCUGUGAGCUGUGGUGUAGGUUGCAGACAUGGUUCGGAUCCUACAUUGCUGUGGCUGUGGUAUAAGCUGGAAGCUGCAGCUCCAAUUCAACCUCUAGCCUGGAAACUAUACGCCGCAGGUGUGGCCCUAAAAAGUAAAAA